rnacentral:rRNA from 1 species
UACGUAGGGCGCAAGCGUUAUCCGGAAUUAUUGGGCGUAAAGAGCUCGUAGGCGGUUUGUCGCGUCUGCCGUGAAAGUCCGGGGCCCAACUCCGGAUCUGCGGUGGGUACGGGCAGACUAGAGUGAUGUAGGGGAGACUGGAAUUCCUGGUGUAGCGGUGAAAUGCGCAGAUAUCAGGAGGAACACCGAUGGCGAAGGCAGGUCUCUGGGCAUCAACUGACGCUGAGGAGCGAAAGCAUGGGGAGCGAACAGG